rnacentral:rRNA from 1 species
CCUACGGGAGGCAGCAGUGGGGAAUAUUGCACAAUGGGGGAAACCCUGAUGCAGCGACGCCGCGUGAGUGAAGAAGUAUUUCGGUAUGUAAAGCUCUAUCAGCAGGAACGAGACAAGACGGUACCUGACUAAGAAGCCCCGGCUAACUACGUGCCAGCAGCCGCGGUAAUACGUAGGGGGCAAGCGUUAUCCGGAAUCACUGGGUGUAAAGGGAGCGUAGACGGCUGAGCAAGCCUGAAGUGAAAGGCGGGGGCCCAACCCCCGGACUGCUUUGGGAACUGUACGGCUGGAGGGCAGGAGAGGUAAGUGGAAUUCCUAGUGUAGCGGUGAAAUGCGUAGAUAUUAGGAGGAACACCAGUGGCGAAGGCGGCUUACUGGACUGUAACUGACGUUGAGGCUCGAAAGCGUGGGGAGCAAACAGGAUUAGAUACCCUAGUAGUC